rnacentral:rRNA from 1 species
UUGGUGGGGUGAUGGCCUACCAAGGCGACGACGGGUAGCCGGCCUGAGAGGGUGUCCGGCCACACUGGGACUGAGAUACGGCCCAGACUCCUACGGGAGGCAGCAGUGGGGAAUAUUGCACAAUGGGCGCAAGCCUGAUGCAGCGACGCCGCGUGGGGGAUGACGGCCUUCGGGUUGUAAACCUCUUUCACCAUCGACGAAGGCCUGGUUUUUGCUGGGUUGACGGUAGGUGGAGAAGAAGCACCGGCCAACUACGUGCCAGCAGCCGCGGUAAUACGUAGGGUGCGAGCGUUGUCCGGAAUUACUGGGCGUAAAGAGCUCGUAGGUGGUUUGUCGCGUUGUUCGUGAAAUGCCACAGCUUAACUGUGGGCGUGCGGGCGAUACGGGCAGACUGGAGUACUGCAGGGGAGACUGGAAUUCCUGGUGUAGCGGUGGAAUGCGCAGAUAUCAGGAGGAACACCGGUGGCGAAGGCGGGUCUCUGGGCAGUAACUGACGCUGAGGAGCGAAAGCGUGGGGAGCGAACAGGAUUAGAUACCCUGGUAGUCCACGCCGUAAACGGUGGGUACUAGGUGUGGGUUUCCUUCCUUGGGAUCCGUGCCGUAGCUAACGCAUUAAGUACCCCGCCUGGGGAGUACGG